GACGAACGCUGGCGGCGUGCCUAACACAUGCAAGUCGAGCGAGGAGAGUUCCUUCGGGAACAAACCUAGCGGCGGACGGGUGAGUAACACGUGGGCAACCUGCCUUGUAGAGGGGAAUAGCCUUCCGAAAAGGAAGAUUAAUACCGCAUAACAUUACAGUUUCGCAUGAAACAGUAAUUAAAGGAGUAAUCCGCUACAAGAUGGGCCCGCGGCGCAUUAGCUAGUUGGUGAGGUAACGGCUCACCAAGGCGACGAUGCGUAGCCGACCUGAGAGGGUGAUCGGCCACAUUGGGACUGAGACACGGCCCAGACUCCUACGGGAGGCAGCAGUGGGGAAUAUUGCACAAUGGGGGAAACCCUGAUGCAGCAACGCCGCGUGAGUGAUAAAGGUUUUCGGAUCGUAAAGCUCUGUCUUCGGGGACGAUAAUGACGGUACCCGAGGAGGAAGCCACGGCUAACUACGUG
rnacentral:rRNA from 1 species